rnacentral:rRNA from 1 species
CAGGCUUGACACAUGCAAGUCGAACGCACCGCAAGGUGAGUGGCAGACGGGUGAGUAACGCGUGGGAAUCUACCCAGUCCUUCGGAAUAACACAGGGAAACUUGUGCUAAUACCGGAUACGCCCUACGGGGGAAAGAUUUAUCGGGAUUGGAUGAGCCCGCGUUGGAUUAGCUAGUUGGUGGGGUAAUGGCCUACCAAGGCGACGAUCCAUAGCUGGUCUGAGAGGAUGAUCAGCCACACUGGGACUGAGACACGGCCCAGACUCCUACGGGAGGCAGCAGUGGGGAAUAUUGGACAAUGGGCGAAAGCCUGAUCCAGCCAUGCCGCGUGAGUGAUGAAGGCCUUAGGGUUGUAAAGCUCUUUCAGUGGGGAAGAUAAUGACGGUACCCGCAGAAGAAGCCCCGGCUAACUUCGUGCCAGCAGCCGCGGUAAU